CCUACGGGUGGCUGCAGUGGGGGAUAUUGCACAAUGGCGGAAACCCUGAUGCAGCGACGCCGCGUGUGGGAAGACGGUCUUCUGGCUUGUAAACCACUGUCCCCAGGGACGAAAAUGACGGUACCUGGGGAGGCAACUCUGGCUAACUACGUGACAGCAGCUGCGGUCAUACGUAGGGCGGAAGCGUUGUCCGGAAUUACUGGGUGUAAAGGGAGUGUAGGCGGGGAUGCAAGUGGGGUGUCAAAACUACCCGCUCAACCGAUAGUCGCCAUCAAAACUGCAGCUCUUGAGUGAAGUAGAGGCAGGCGGAAUUCCUAGUGUAGCGGUGAAAUGCGUAGAUAUUAGGAGGAACACCAGUGGCGAAGGCGGCCUGCUGGGCUUUUACUGACGCUGAUGCUCGAAAGUGUGGGGAGCAAACAGGAUUAGAUACCCCGGUAGUC
rnacentral:rRNA from 1 species